AGUGAAUAGAUACCCGGGUAGUCCCAGCUGUAAACUAUGCAGGCUAGGUGUUUGAGCGGCCACGUGCCGCUCUAGUGCCGCAGGGAAGCUGUUAAGCCUGCCGCCUGGGGAGUACGGUCGCAAGAUUGAAACUUAAAGGAAUUGGCGGGGGAGCACCACAAGGGGUGAAAGCUUGCGGUUUAAUUGGAGUCAACGCCGGAAAUCUCACCGGGGGCGACAGCAGUAUGAUGGCCAGAUUAAAGGUCUUGCCAGACGAGCUGAGAGGAGGUGCAUGGCCGUCGCCAGUUCGUGCCGUGAGGUGUCCUGUUAAGUCAGGCAACGAUCGAGACCCGCGUCCUCUGUUGCUACUGGUUUUGUACCAGGCACACUGAGGAGACCGCCGCUGACAAAGCGGAGGAAGGAGCGGGCCACGGCAGGUCAGUAUGCCCCGAAUCUCCCGGGCCACACGCGAGCUGCAAUGGCAGGUACAAUGGUUCCGACCUCGAAAGGGGGAGGCAAUCUCGAAAGCCUGCCGUAGUUGGGAUCGUGGGUU
rnacentral:rRNA from 1 species